rnacentral:rRNA from 1 species
UACGUAGGGGGCAAGCGUUAUCCGGAAUUACUGGGUGUAAAGGGAGCGUAGGCGGCAUGGUAAGCCAGAUGUGAAAGCCCGCGGCUUAACCGCGCGGAUUGCAUUUGGGACUAUCAAGCUAGAGUACAGGAGAGGAAAGCGGAAUUCCUAGUGUAGCGGUGAAAUGCGUAGAUAUUAGGAAGAACACCAGUGGCGAAGGCGGCUUUCUGGACUGAAACUGACGCUGAGGCUCGAAAGCGUGGGGAGCAAACAGG